CCCAGAGCAUGCUGAUUCUGUCCACACCCCAGAAACUAGGCAGAAACUAGUCCCCCUGGAAGCCUCCUCCAAAGUCAGUGUAUCUGUGGGAGAACCAGAGACGAGGAUUCUCAUUCCAUCAUCUUGCUGAAGCCGCUCCGGAGGCUGGAGGUUAGUUGAUUUUUAACAAGGAAUUCUACCACCUUUUUUGGAUUUGACAGAAGGCAUCAUGUCCUUGAUCGGCUGUGACCCACCUCUGUGGACAGGAGACUCUGGGUGAGAUGCGGUGUUUUCUUUGUGAGUACGUCAACAUUACCCUGAAGACGGAUGUUUUUGUUCUGCAGAAAUCAGAG